rnacentral:pre_miRNA from 13 species
AUGUAGGGCAAUCUGUCCUUAAGUAGGAAUAAAUUACUCUUUUUAAAAAAAUAAUUCUAGAUAGUUUUCCCUUUAAGUCAAGUGUCUUGU